UGGCGAACGGGUGAGUAACACGUGGGCAACCUGCCCAAAAGAGGGGGAUAACACUUGGAAACAGGUGCUAAUACCGCAUAACCAUAGUUACCGCAUGGUAACUAUGUUAAAAGGUGGCUAUGCUACCGCUUUUGGAUGGGCCCGCGGCGCAUUAGCUAGUUGGUGGGGUAAAGGCUUACCAAGGCAAUGAUGCGUAGCCGAACUGAGAGGUUGAUCGGCCACAUUGGGACUGAGACACGGCCCAAACUCCUACGGGAGGCAGCAG
rnacentral:rRNA from 1 species